GCAGGCGUAGCUCAAUGGUAGAGCUUCUGGUUCCCAACCAGAUGACGAGGGUUCGAUUCCCUUCGCCUGCUCCA
rnacentral:tRNA from 1 species